rnacentral:misc_RNA from 1 species
UGAGUUCGGAAAAACAAAGUCCGAUCUACGACGCUUGUGCCAAUCCCACAUGGGAGCCUUCUCACCAACCAUGGCUAAAGUUUUCCCGGAGUGGUUCAAGCCUAUGUUAUGUGUAUGUGACCAAAGCUGGAAAGAAAUGAAUAUUCUUUCUUCACCCACGAAAUAUCCUAAUCUUUCUUUCCUACAGCUCUUGGAAUCGAAACUCUUCCUUUCUUUCUGAGCCCAGCCACAUUUCAUUCGCCAAUACAAUGCUAAAGGUCCUUGAUGGACAAGGAAUGCGCUCUUAUCGGCGUAAAGAAGGAAGUAAGCCAGAAGUUCCUUUGCCAGCUUGAAGUUAAGUUCCUUG